UACGUAGGGGGCAAGCGUUGUCCGGAGUUACUGGGCGUAAAGCGCACGCAGGCGGUUCUUUCAGUUCAAAGUGACAGUCGUCGGCUUCACUGACGAAGGACUAGGAAGACGGGAGAACUUGAGGGUCUCAGAGGAAAGCGGAAUUCCGGGUGGAGUGGUGAAAUGCGUAGAUAUCCGGAGGAACACCGAUGGCGUAGGCAGCUUUCUGGGAGACAUCUGACGCUCAGGGACGAAAGCUAGGGGAGCAAACGG
rnacentral:rRNA from 1 species